CGUACACUCCUGCGGGAGGCAGCAGUGGGGAAUAUUGGACAAUGGGCGCAAGCCUGAUCCAGCCAUGCCGCGUGAGUGAUGAAGGCCCUAGGGUUGUAAAGCUCUUUUGUGCGGGAAGAUAAUGACGGUACCGCAAGAAUAAGCCCCGGCUAACUUCGUGCCAGCAGCCGCGGUAAUACGAAGGGGGCUAGCGUUGCUCGGAAUCACUGGGCGUAAAGGGUGCGUAGGCGGUUCUUUAAGUCAGGUGUGAAAUCCUGGAGCUCAACUCCAGAACUGCCUUUGAUACUGAAGAUCUUGAGUUCGGGAGAGGUGAGUGGAACUGCGAGUGUAGAGGUGAAAUGCGUAGAUAUUCGCAAGAACACCAGUGGCGAAGGCGGCUCACUAGCCCGAUACUGACGCUGAGGCACGAAAGCGUGGGGAGCAAACAGGAUUAGAAACCCCUGUAGUCCCA
rnacentral:rRNA from 1 species